GACGAACCGUGCGAACGUUGUUCGGAUUCACUGGGCUUAAAGGGCGCGUAGGCGGGCGGCAACGUCGGGGGUGAAAUCUCACGGCCCAACCGUGAAACGGCCUCCGAUACGGGCCGCCUCGAGGGAGGUGAGGGGCACGCGGAACUUCCGGUGGAGCGGUGAAAUGCGUAGAUAUCGGAAGGAACGCCGGUGGCGAAAGCGGCGUGCUGGGCCUUCUCUGACGCUGAGGCGCGAAAGCCAGGGGAGCG
rnacentral:rRNA from 1 species